UUUUCUCGAUAACGUACCGCUGUUUGAUCUAUUUAAAGCGCUUGAUAUGAAGAAGCCCACAGCUGUGUGAGGUCUAAUUGAACAGCAUGCCGGAGAGAAACUUGUGUCCAUGACAUGCCAAACAAAUGCGUUUGUUCCAAGGUGUCGAGGACACACAUACACAGAGCGAGCCGUGUGUGUGUGUGUGUGUGUGUGCACCGAGAACUGGAGGGGAGAAAGCUAGCUCGCAGCUAACACAGGAAAAAAGCGCCUCGCAAUUAAAAAAAAAAAAAGAAGAGAAGAGAAGGCACUUACAGACCAGCGAGCUCCAACGACUUCCCACUUCCUCUGACCAAAUACACGGCGGUGGAGGAAAAAACACCCCAGAAGAAGA